AAGUCGUAACAAGGUUUCCGUAGGUGAACCUGCGGAAGGAUCAUUAACAAAGAUUCUUAUUAUCUUAACCGUGUCUUGUUGUAAUGUUCUUGGCAAGGACGAAUACUUGCCAAUAUUUUUAACAACAAUUUUAUUUUCUGAUAUAAAACUUAAUGAGAUACAACUGUUAACAACGGAUCACUCGGUUCUCA
rnacentral:misc_RNA from 1 species